GAUGCAACGCGAAGAACCUUACCUGGUCUUGACAUCCACGGAAGUUUUCAGAGAUGAGAAUGUGCCUUCGGGAACCGUGAGACAGGUGCUGCAUGGCUGUCGUCAGCUCGUGUUGUGAAAUGUUGGGUUAAGUCCCGCAACGAGCGCAACCCUUAUCCUUUGUUGCCAGCGGUCCGGCCGGGAACUCAAAGGAGACUGCCAGUGAUAAACUGGAGGAAGGUGGGGAUGACGUCAAGUCAUCAUGGCCCUUACGACCAGGGCUACACACGUGCUACAAUGGCGCAUACAAAGAGAAGCGACCUCGCGAGAGCAAGCGGACCUCAUAAAGUGCGUCGUAGUCCGGAUUGGAGUCUGCAACUCGACUCCAUGAAGUCGGAAUCGCUAGUAAUCGUGGAUCAGAAUGCCACGGUGAAUACGUUCCCGGGCCUUGUACACACCGCCCGUCACACCAUGGGAGUGGGUUGCAAAAGAAGUAGGUAGCUUAACCUUCGGGAGG
rnacentral:rRNA from 1 species